rnacentral:lncRNA from 1 species
CACACUCGGCUCCGCAGCCGGGCCCCGAGCGAGCUCCGCGAGUCCUGGCGAGAGCCGAGGGCUCCCCGGGUUCAAAGGGCCGCAGCCCCGAGGGAACGCCCUCCUUGCUGUGCCCCGGGGGGCAGAAGCGGACUGCUGGGCGGUGGGACCGGCCUGGGCCACGCUCCGCGCCCCUCCCAGCCUUCCCGCCCUUAGCCGGGAAAGGACGCUGAGAUGACAUCACCACAGAGACCCGCGGCCUCCCCGCCCCCGGCCCCGGGACCCCGGAGCGGAGAUUGACAGGUGUCGCUCGUUAGGACAAUGCCUUCCAGGCUUAGUAAUUCUGACUUUUGAAAUCUCCUGUCGUGAACAAAUCUACACUGCACUUUAUUUCUUGCCCCGUCCUGGAAUUCAGCCACUCCUGCACUACAUUUCUUAAGGUGAAGAAGUGAAAGACGAAGACACCAAUCCAAGUGAACGUGUGUUAUUCUCUUCUAUAAUGCUAUUGUAUUAUAUUCCCUCUUUUUUUUAAAUUCUCUUGAUUUCUCUGCACAAAAGAGGGAAAUUCUUCCAAAGCAACGGAAAGUUUCCUUGAAAUACUUUUAUCUAGUCACACUUACAUAGUGUAAUGUCUCUCUCUUACAGCAUUGUACAGUUUGGGAUUUGUUUUUAAUCCUGUGGAAAAUGUCCUAACAGGGCUUUGGUGUAUCUUUGUUCCAAUUUCUACAUUGCUUGGGGAGGGGGAGAAGCUUUCUUUGUAUUAAAUGAAAUACACCACUACUUCAUUAAAUAAAUAGACACCUCAACCAUUAGUUGCUAAUGAAACAAAAAUCUAAGUAAAACAUCUAACUAUCCAAAUACUACAUUUUCUCUACCUUUGCCCCAAAAUGUGCCUCAUCUCCCUGCACCUCCAAAUAAUAUUUCUAGUGUUUUCAUUUUAUUAGUUUUGCAAUGUCACUGUCCAGAUAGAAUUAUUCGAUGACUUAAAACAACUUUCGUAAGAUUUUCAAGCCCUAAAUUAAAAAAUCAUAUUUCAAUACAA